AGCAUGGCCUCCCCUCGCUUCCCUGCAUCGUUUGACCCCACGAGCUGGGCCUUCCUCCUCUGUCAAUUCCCGCAGACUCCUGAAUGUCCCGUUCUCAAGCUUUCCAGCUGAUUUUGCUCAAAACUGAGACCGGGGAUGUUCAUCCCUUGGGGUGAAAGGAGGCUCACCCAGCAAUCAUCAAGCCACGUGUCUCUGACUUUGUGAGCCGUGGAGCUGCUGACAGUCCCUCCGUGGAGCUUCCCAGAUGUCUAGGGUGUAUGUGAUAUGCAUGGAGUUAUCUUCUCAAGAUGUUUUUUUAGACUGUGUCCUGGGAAGAUUUCAACACCUUCUUAGCAAACCAAGUCCCCACAAAGCUGAAGUGAAUAGCCAAAGAGGACGUGAUCUUUCAGCACUUCUAUCUAAAAAACACUGCAAAGGAACUUCCUCUUUUAAGGCUCUCCACCAGAUGCUGGAGUAAAAGGAUAUUGAAUAAGACAAACAGAAAUGGUGUUGACAUUAAAGAAGUCAAGAAGGAAGCAGUCAUGUGAUCACCUGCCUGGAGUUCUAUUCUUCAGGGGCUGAGAUAGAAGGCUAAGCUGACCGCAAAGUAUGGAAGGAGUAUAAAUCCUGGCUGGAGUAAAGGGAUGUAUAGAGUCAUAACCCAGAAACUUAAAAGAUGAGAAGCCUGAUGACCAGGAGUCUAGAACAGUGUGCUGUGUGAGAAGGGACAAGUGGAAGUCUGUGCAUUGAUCAAGGCAAUGCAAGGACUUCAGCCUGCCUGGAGAUUUGGAGACAAGAACUGGAAAGGAUACUCUGUGUAUGAAAAUGCUAGCAGAAACCUUAUCAUGGUAAAUCUUGAAAAACACACAUUUUAUUCUGCCAACAUUGAGGAGACAUUUGUGGGUUUUCAACUGGGAAAUGAUAUCAUUUCUGGGAUUUAAAAAAAAUGUUUAUUCAUUUUUGAG